GUUUCUGUCAUAUCCCCCCUCGUCUCGUCUUUCCUCCAAGCUAUACAUGUUAAGAUCCUUUAACCUUUCCUGGUAAGUUUUAUCCUGCAAUCCAUGAACCAAUUUAGUAGCCCUUCUCUGAACCCUCUCUAAGGUAUCAAUAUCCUUUCAUACUAUUUUCAUACUUUCUGGUUAAUCUUUUCAAAAAGUAUCACACUGUUCAAUGUUUCAGUUUUAAUGUAAU